rnacentral:rRNA from 1 species
CUCCAGACUCCUACGGGAGGCAGCAGUGGGGAAUAUUGCACAAUGGGGGAAACCCUGAUGCAGCGACGCCGCGUGAGCGAUGAAGUAUUUCGGUAUGUAAAGCUCUAUCAGCAGGGAAGAAGAUGACGGUACCUGACUAAGAAGCCCCGGCUAACUACGUGCCAGCAGCCGCGGUAAUACGUAGGGGGCAAGCGUUAUCCGGAUUUACUGGGUGUAAAGGGAGCGUAGACGGCGAUGCAAGCCAGAUGUGAAAGCCCGGGGCUCAACCCCGGGACUGCAUUUGGAACUGCGUGGCUUGAGUGUCGGAGAGGCAGGCGGAAUUCCUAGUGUAGCGGUGAAAUGCGUAGAUAUUAGGAGGAACACCAGUGGCGAAGGCGGCCUACUGGACGGUGACUGACGCUGAGGCUCGAAAGCGUGGGGAGCAAACAGGAUUAGAUACCCCGGUAC